UGCAUUUGAGGUAAUGUGUCUGCAAACGUGAGUGGAAAUUUGCAUUAUGAUUAAUUUGGCUUUUCUUCCUCUGCACAUGUGGAUAUAGCGACAAAGACAGGCUAAAUAAACUUUCCCUCAAGGUUUUAUAGCAACAUGGUAGACCUUUCACUUGGGGGUCUCGUGGCAGUGAUAACCGGCUUAGUUGUGAUCAUCAUACUGCUCGCCUAUAUGAUCAGAGCAAAGUAUAAAAGGUCGCAGAUUAAUGCUUACAAUGGAAACACACGGGUGACAAUGAUCAAAGUAUCAGAAAUUAAUACAGUACGUCAAAUUUCACAUACUCAGCAUGUUCCAAACGGGUUUCACCACAAGUAGACCAGAUAUUGUAUGUGUUUCUUAUUUCCCUCCUUUCAUUGUUGGAUGAAGGUGAUUAACAGAUAGAAAGAAAGGUGAAGAUAGAGUAAAAAGAAAACCAACUGUUUACUUUCCAUUUAAAAAUGAAAAUGUUUAUUAUGAAUAUACGGUGCUAUGGAUUUCACAUUAUACGUGAAAAAAGAAUUAUAAUUUUUAAUCGUUUUGAAUUCUGAUGAACAUAAUUAAUUCUCUCUCUCUCUCUCUC